ACAAACAACAAACAAACAAAACAACUGUUAUUUAUGGUUGAAUUGUGUGGACGCUGUGAAAAUACGGAUCUGAGAGAUAUUGUCUGCCUGUGCUAAAGAUAUCCUCGAUGCUGAUUGGUCAGUUACAUGUCAAUAUGUAAAUGAAGCGACAUGACCGAUGUUGUGAUUGUAGGCGAUUCACACGUGAAAAGACUAGCAACUUUCCUUUCUUAUCGUGAUAAAAAAUUUGAUAUUGAAGACUGCUCCGUUCUUUGUUAUGGAAUACCAGGAGGAUGUAUUAAAAAUUCACGACAUGUUGAAAGAAUUGAAGUUUUUAUAAAGACACAUAAACCGAAAGGUCUUGUUGUACACUUGGGUGGGAAUGAUUUAGACUCUAAAGAAGUGACAUUUGAUGAAGUAAAUACAAUCAUUUUGCGAUAUGUGGCCCUUUUAAACUUGUUUGCAAAAAGAUAUUCCCUUGAAAUAAUAGUGUGCCAAUUACUGUUUCGUCAAAGAACAAGAUAUUUAACAGAUUGUACUUACAAUAAUUUUGUGAGUUUUGCAAACAAAAUUCUUAAGAAGGAAUUGUCUAAACAUUCAAAUUUAAGGUAUUGGAAGUUAAAGGGGUUAAAAAACAGUCAGGCUGAUAUAUACAAGCAGGAUGGUGUACAUUUAAAUGAGACUGUUGGCUACCAUAAAUAUUAUAGGAACAUUCGAGGUGCCAUUCUGCAUACUCUGAAAUUAAGUAGCAGUACAUGCCAGUAAAGUUUUUCGCAUCAAUCAAAGACUAGAAUUGGAAGGGAUACUCUUAAGCUCUCAAAAUGCCGCCAGCACGCAAAAGAAGAAGACUAGAUGAUACAACUAGAAAGGAGGUUUCCGAUCUGAUGUCACAGAUGCUGCAAACAAUGGUACCAAACAUUGUAGAAAUGGUUACUCAGAAAUUAAAGGGAGAUAUGUCGCAUCUGCCUACAGAGCAAGGAUCUCCUACCAACGUAUGCAGCUUGGAUGUAAGCCAACCGCCCCCAGAUAACAAUGUUGUAGCAACAGUCCAUCAAGGAGAGCCUAGUCAACAGGGUACAAGCAGUGCAGCAACCCUGCCAAGUCAACCCUUGACAAACA